UGAGGAAUAUUGGUCAAUGGACGAGAGUCUGAACCAGCCAAGUAGCGUGAAGGAUGACUGCCCUAUGGGUUGUAAACUUCUUUUAUAUGGGAAUAAAGUAUUCCACGUGUGGGAUUUUGUAUGUACCAUAUGAAUAAGGAUCGGCUAACUCCGUGCCAGCAGCCGCGGUAAUACGGAGGAUCCGAGCGUUAUCCGGAUUUAUUGGGUUUAAAGGGAGCGUAGGCGGAUUGUUAAGUCAGUUGUGAAAGUUUGCGGCUCAACCGUAAAAUUGCAGUUGAUACUGGCAGUCUUGAGUGCAGUAGAGGUGGGCGGAAUUCGUGGUGUAGCGGUGAAAUGCUUAGAUAUCACGAAGAACUCCGAUUGCGAAGGCAGCUCACUGGAGUGUAACUGACGCUGAUGCUCGAAAGUGUGGGUAUCAAACAGGAUUAGAUACCCUGGUAGUCCACACAGUAAACGAUGAAUACUCGCUGUUUGCGAUAUACAGUAAGCGGCCAAGCGAAAGCAUUAAGUAUUCCACCUGGGGAGUACGCCGGCAACGGUGAAACUCAAAGGAAUUGACGGGGGCCCGCACAAGCGGAGGAACAUGUGGUUUAAUUCGAUGAUACGCGAGGAACCUUACCCGGGCUUAAAUUGCAAAUGAAUUAUGGGGAAACCCAUACGCCGCAAGGCAUUUGUGAAGGUGCUGCAUGGUUGUCGUCAGCUCGUGCCGUGAGGUGUCGGCUUAAGUGCCAUAACGAGCGCAACCCUUAUCUUCAGUUACUAACAGGUCAUGCUGAGGACUCUGGAGAGACUGCCGUCGUAAGAUGUGAGGAAGGUGGGGAUGACGUCAAAUCAGCACGGCCCUUACGUCCGGGGCUACACACGUGUUACAAUGGGGGGUACAGAAGGCCGCUACCUGGUGACAGGAUGCCAAUCCCAAAAACCUCUCUCAGUUCGGAUCGAAGUCUGCAACCCGACUUCGUGAAGCUGGAUUCGCUAGUAAUCGCGCAUCAGCCAUGGCGCGGUGAAUACGUUCCC
rnacentral:rRNA from 1 species